GCGACCCCAGAUCAGGCGGGACUACCCGCUGAGUUUAAGCAUAUCAAUAAGCGGAGGAA
rnacentral:rRNA from 1 species